rnacentral:pre_miRNA from 1 species
AGAGGGAUAGCUGGGUCAAGUGGUGGUUCCAUUUCCAGAUUUCCAAGGAAUCUCUAUACUGCUUUCCAUAUCGGCUGCACCAAUUUGCAGUCCCACCAGCAAU